AGUGAACGCUGGCGGCGUGCCUAAUACAUGCAAGUCGAACGGAAUUUAAAAGAGCUUGCUCUUUUGAAUUUAGUGGCGCACGGGUGAGUAAUAUAUAGCUAAUCUGCCCCUUGCUGGAGGACAACAGUUAGAAAUGACUGCUAAUACUCCAUACUCCUUUUUACCAUAAGAUAAAUCGGGAAAGAAUUUCAGCAAGGGAUGAGACUAUAUCGUAUCAGCUAGUCGGUGGGGUAACGGCCUACCGAGGCUAUGACGCGUAACUGGUCUGAGAGGAUGAUCAGUCACAUUGGAACUGAGACACGGUCCAAACUCCUACGGGAGGCAGCAGUAGGGAAUAUUGCGCAAUGGGGGAAACCCUGACGCAGCAACGCCGCGUGGAGGAUGACACUUUUCGGAGCGUAAACUCCUUUUGUUAGGGAAGAAUAAUGACGGUACCUAACGAAUAAGCACCGGCUAA
rnacentral:rRNA from 1 species